AGCGAACGCUGGCGGCGUGCUUAACACAUGCAAGUCGAGCGAGAAAGGGGGCUUCGGCCCCUGAGUACAGCGGCGAACGGGUGCGUAAUGCAUGAGCAAUCUACCCUUGAGGCGGGAAUAACCCAGCGAAAGUUGGGCUAAUACCGGAUAAGACCACAAGAGGAGACCCUAGAGGCUAAAGGCAGCUCUCUUUUGGGGGCGGCCCUUUGAGGAGGAGCUCAUGUCCUAUCAGCUAGUUGGUAGGGUAACGGCCUACCAAGGCGAAGACGGGUAGCUGGUCUUAGAGGAUGAUCAGCCACACGGGGACUGAGACACGGCCCCGACUCCUACGGGAGGCAGCAGUGGGGAAUAUUGGGCAAGUGGGGGAAACCCUGACCCAGCGACGCCGCGUGGGUGAUGAAGGCCC
rnacentral:rRNA from 1 species